CCUACGGGUGGCAGCAGUGAGGAAUAUUGGUCAAUGGCCGCGAGGCUGAACCAGCCAAGCCGCGUGAGGGAAGAAGGUGCCAUGCAUUGUAAACUUCUUUUGUCAAGGGGCAAAAUCAGCCUCGCGUGCCUUACCGAGAGUACUCGAAGAAAAAGCAUCGGCUAACUCCGUGCCAGCAGCCGCGGUAAUACGGAGGAUGCGAGCGUUAUCCGGAUUUAUUGGGUUUAAAGGGUGCGUAGGCGGACGAUCAAGUCAGCGGUAAAAGUCAGGGGCUCAACCUCGUCGAGCCGUUGAAACUGGUUGUCUUGAGAGGGCGAGAGGUAUGCGGAAUGCGUAGUGUAGCGGUGAAAUGCUUAGAUAUCACGCAGAACUCCGAUUGCGAAGGCAGCAUACCGGCGCUGAACUGACGCUGAGGCACGAAAGUGUGGGUAUCGAACAGGAUUAGAUACCCUUGUAGUC
rnacentral:rRNA from 1 species